rnacentral:ncRNA from 1 species
GAAAGGCGGGAGUGAUCCUGCUGGGCGUCGAAAGAGCCCCAAUUAGA